AAGAGGAUGAUGAAGAGGAAGAGGAAGACAAAGAGUGGAAAUAUCUGAUGAAAUUCGAGCAACAGUUAUAGACCAUGUUCUUGUCCAUGGACUYACAAUGAGGGAAGCAGGACUUAGAGUGCAACCCAAUUUGAGCCGAUUUUCUGUGUCCACCAUAGUAAGGACAUUCAGAGAAGAGAACAGAAUUGCAAGGCUGCCACAUGCAUGUGGAAGGACAGRUAUAUUCACUCGGAAGCAAGAGGCCGUUAUAGUUGGCAUGGUCCUUCAAGAUAAUGCAAUACGACUCAGAGAAAUCCAGGAACGAGUGAUACAAGACAAACACACACUUCCAGGGAAUCGACAGUGUGAGRAUUUCCACAAUUGACCGUGUCCUCCAUCGUAACAGGAUGCGAAUGAAACAAGUAUACAGAGUACCUUUUGAGCGCAACUCACCAAGGGUGAAAGAACUGCGAGCUCAGUAUGUGCAAACAAUAUUUGACUUGGAAUCCUUGGACAGACCCCAUGAGUUCARRUUUGUCGAUGAAGCAGGCUUCAAUCUAACAAAGAGGAGAAGGAGAGGCCGAAACAUGAUUGGACAGUGGGCCAUUGUUGAAGUCCCUGGUCAACGAGGUGGCAAUGUCACAAUCUGUGCUGCUAUCAGCAACCAUGGUGUUCUACAUCACCAUGUUACACUCGGGCCAUAUAACACRCAGCACCUUCUAAGAUUUAUUGCCAAUCUAAGAAAUAUUUUAUUUGAGCAGCAGGUUCAAGAGCAGCAGGGUCAAGAGCUAAAUGAGAAUCCCAUUCCCACCUAUGU